UGUUAAGCAAGUAACGAGAUAUUUUAUGCCUGGCUUUAAAUCUUCUAUUUAUUACCUCCAUAUUGACAACUGACAUAGUUUUUUUAUUAUUUCAAUGAACAAACCUCAAAUGAAACUUUAUUGAAAAAUUUUAAAAAUUUCAGAGUAAAUAAAUACGCACAUGUAAACAUGAUAAUUAAUAAUUAUACAAAUAAUUAUUAGGAAUAUCCAUUGACGUUAUAUAUUUUUUUAUUAACAUGAGGCAAGAAAAUUAAGUUAUUAUUAAUGUCAUUGAAGAUUCAUAUAAAUAAAAUUAUCGCAACAUCAUAAACAACAGUGUAUUAUUUAUUAUUCAAAGCAAUGGAAUCAUUAAUUAAAUUAUUGGUCUUUCUUGCUGUUAUGGUAUCGAUAGUACUUUCAAAACCUACACCAGAACCAGGAUUUGUAGCUGCAUGGGGAUGGCCUUGGGGGUACGGAUUUUAUGGUUAUCCAUAUUACCCUAGUUUUUCCGCAGGAAUAAGGGUGGUAAUUUAAUAAUAAAAUGUAAUUUAAAUAAAUGGUGUAUUGUUUAUA